AACGGCUGGCGGCGUGCUUAAUACAUGCAAGUCAACUUGACUUUAGAUAGCAAUAUCGAAAGUAGGGUGGCGCACGGGUGCGUAACGCGUAGGUAAUCUGCCCUGAGGUCUGACAUAACCCGUCGAAAGGCGGGCUAACAUCAGAUGAUAUAUAAUCACGACAUCGUGGAAAUAUCAAAUCUUCGGAGCCUUGGGAUGAGCCUGCGUCUGAUUAGGUAGUUGGCGGAGUAAUAGCCCACCAAGCCUACGAUCAGUAGCUGGUCUGAGAGGAUGAUCAGCCACACUGGAACUGAGACACGGUCCAGACUCCUACGGGAGGCAGCAGUAAGGAAUAUUGCUCAAUGGGGGAAACCCUGAAGCAGCAACGCCGCGUGAAGGAUGAAAUUACUUUUGUAUGUAAACUUCUGUAAGAUGGGAAAAAUAUUCUCCUCGGGAGAAUUGAUUGUACCAUCAGAGUAAGCCCCGGCUAACUACGUG
rnacentral:rRNA from 1 species